CUAAAGGUUAAAUGGAGUGUUCCAGUCAGAUCUGGCCAUCAGCAGGAGUGUUAGUUGUUAGUUAAUUCUCGGUCAGAGAGAAAUUCCCUUUUAGCCACCUGGUUUGUUUUGGAGGCUAUGUUUUUUUUCUUUGCUGAUUUCCCAAACAAUAUUUAUGCUCAAGAUUAAGAGGGAUUUUCUUAGAAAAUCACAAUGACCAGUGCCAGGAACAUGAUACAUGAUUGGAUUUGCCUUGAUAAAGGUCCAGGAAAUGUCCUGAAAGGUUACAGUAGGUUACAAUAUACUAUUUGUGACAUUUCAAAGACUUCUCAAAAUAAUACAGUAAAUAAAGAAUUUAUUGUCGAAAUACAGGCUACUCGUUCAAGUCACUGACAUUUUCACCCAAAAAUACAAAAAAAAUUAUGCUUAUUUGGUUAUAGUUUAAGACUAGUCCCAGACUAAAAUGCAUGUUUGAGCUGUUUUAACUCAAAGCAACUUGCACUGACAUAUCUGACAAAUAUGUCAGUGCCAUUGUUUUGUCUCAAGAUGCACACCAGUAAUGUUUUUUCUAAGGCACGUUUAUAAAAGCUACUUAAAUGUCUUAAUUUAACUAAGGCCUAAUCCCGGCUUAAUCUAAGCCCUGUCUGUGAAACCAGGCCAUGGUGUCUUCACUUUUCUGGAGUAUAUGAGGACAUAAUUCAGUAAGCAGUUUUUUUCCCCCCCCAAGAAUAUUGUAAACAUUAGCAGGGCGGUUUAUAUCUCCUAAACUGUGCCGUUAAUCCUCACUAGUGUUUAUGUUCGCUUUCACACGUUUGCACUUUUAAAGGUCAGCGUUUAUUUAUAUGCUGUUUUCUCGUCAUGAGUGGCCUGUGACUUUAGGUCAUCUGCAGCCAGUGAUGAUCUGACUCACUUCCUCUGUCAUGUGAGGCGAGAGAAAACUUGGUGGCGCAAGAUGGGUCCAAUAAUAUGAUAUGCAGGCACACCGAAAAAUCACGAUGGCCGAUGUCAUAAAUACAACUAAUGAAAAGCCAUUACAGGACAUUGUUUAUGACCUUUACAGACAUAUUUUGCAGUUGUAAUGGUAAAGAAAUGCAUGAAAUGGUCAGCCUGCUUUAGUGCACUGUAAAAAGUGGUACACUGUAAAAAAGAAUUGUGGUGGAAAUGUUUAUAAUUCAUCGGGUUUUGGUACACUACUGUAAAAAAGAAUUGUUGGUUUAACUUAAAAAGUAAGUUACCUGGUUGUCUUAAAAUUUUGAGUUCACUGAAAUUAAAAAUUUGAGUUACUACAAUGAAGGCGAUUGGUUUAAUCAACAAACAAAAUAUUAUGCUAUCUGAACCACAUUAAUUAUCUAAGUUGAUUUGACAAAAGAAAAAAAUGCUGAUAAAAUAAUUUUUUACAGUGUAAUUAGUUUUAUUCAAGUCACAACUGAACCAAUAAUUCAUAGGGCCUACCAACAAAUACAAUUUUUUGAGUUAAAUCAACUAGAAAUCGCACUUUAAGGUAGCAAUUGCAGGUUACCACUUUUUACAGUGUAUACACCGAGCAAAACACAAUGCGCAGGGCAUUCUCCUUUAUAUGGCCAAGAAAAUCCAUCGAUCUCCAAAACAGGAGGUCUGAUAUUUGGCAUUGUUUUGGUACUCUUGGAAACUGGGACAGUAUGAAUCAGGAAAGUGAAAAAGAUCAUCUAAUAACAGCCAUGUGACGGUUAGAGAGGACGAGAUCUCGCACUCUUGAUUGGCAAACCGAACAGGGUUAGGAUUUCCCCGUCUCAACCCACGGACUUUACAGAGCGGAAAUGGUGCAUUAAAUACUUAACCAACAUUUCCUCCUCCUCUGGCGGUUGGGGUUUUCUCAACACCAACGUCGCUUACACGUAGCCUAGUCUGCAAUAACAGGCUACUGAUGGAAAAACAAUGUUAUUCGAUCAACCUUUAUCCAUUAAACAUGAUUGCAACGAUGUGCUGUCGGUGGUAUGACGUGGGUCUAUUAUCAUGGGCUACGUGUGUUGUGCAAUUACGGCUAUCUUUGCACUUUGAGCAAAAUGGAUAGCAGUGGGACUUUCCCAUGACUAUGUGUGUAGUGUGGAACAAACGCCCAUGCAAAUGACAGUGCUAAUCGAUCGGUUUAUAUAGGGAUGCUGCACUGAGCGAGUAGGCGGCAGAAGAGCUUUCUGCAUGUGUCUUAUCAUUCACGGCAGGUGCAUGAGAGACAUGAUUCAGCAUCCGCAAUAUGGUACUGGUACCGAAAUGACUCACCGACAACAGAUGAUGUGGACCUGUCGAGAGAAGAGGGAAAACUAAAGGUCAAAUAAAACCUCCUGCUUGACAGAUUUGCAUCACUCAUGGAUGUUAAACUGAGCUCUUGGCUUUGAGAACUGAAUUCCAAGGGUGUCUGCUCUAUAUUCAGCCCACGGAGUUCAGUUCUUAAGUUUGGAUGCUCUUUGCAUCUGCUCUGACCUACAACCUGAACAAACAUGCCUGCUACUGGACUGGAAGAUACCGUUUAUUAUGCAGAAUUUUUCAGCCCCAGUCCUCUUCUGCCUUUUUUAAUCAUAAUGCAGUUCAGUGGAUUCUGUCAGGUUGUGGAUCAUCAUUAGAAAUAAAAUAGAAAACUAUUGCUAUAGUUUUGUAUGGUGAUUUUUUUUAUUAACACUUGCCAUAUAUUAUAUUUUGACAUGAAACAAUAUCAAUACGAUGAGAAGCAUGUUGUGAAUAAUGAACCUUAUAUUCCGAAGUCUUCGCUCUUCUCAGCAGGGUUUGUUGGUUGUCCGUCAAUCACGGUUACGCUCCACGGGUGACAGAACUUUUCCUAUAUCUGCUCUCAGGUUGUGGAACCAACUUCCAGUUGAAAUUCGGGAAGCAAAGUCUCUUGGAAUUUUUAAAACGCAUUAAAACAUGUAAAAAACAAAACAUGUAUAUAAAAUUUUAAGCUAGCUUAUUGUUGAUUGUGGUAAUCAUUGCUGGUUUCUUGUUUAUACUCUUUUGUUUGAUUUAUUUUGUAUUUUCUUAUACUGGAAAGUGCUUUGAGAAGGUCUUUUAAAGGCACUAUAGAAAAUAAAGUUAUUAUUAUUAUUAA